CAGGUACGCUGGCCGAAUGUAGGGUCCUGAUGAGCGCAAGCUGGGAUCUCUUUACAGUAGGAUUUCCUUGGCUGCUUCUUCCCAGGCACAGCUUGCACACAGAAGAUUCUGAGUGGUGCCAAGGUGAAUAAAGAUGCCUAAGUGCUCGUGGAAGCCAGCAGAGGGUGUAGGGUCUCCUGGAGCCACAUCUCUGGAGUUACAUGAAGUUGUGGACCUCUCAACAUGGGUUCUGGGAACUGAACCCAGGUCCUCUGGAAGGACAUCGAGUGCUCUUAACCACUGAGCCAUCUCUGCAGCCUAACCCCAUCCCUUGGAGGCUGAAGCAAAGCAAGUUCAAUGACCGUGUAAGAGGGCUUGUUUUGUCUACAUACAGUCGUUUGGGGGGAUCAUGCAGCGUGGGUUGCAUGGUGAGACCCUAUCUCAAAAGAGAAUAUCCUCGUGUGCUGGUUUUGUGGCCUGAGGUACAACUGAA
rnacentral:lncRNA from 1 species